rnacentral:rRNA from 1 species
UAGGGAAUCUUCGGCAAUGGGGGCAACCCUGACCGAGCAACGCCGCGUGAGUGAAGAAGGUUUUCGGAUCGUAAAGCUCUGUUGUAAGAGAAGAACGUGUGUGCGAGUGGAAAGUUCACACAGUGACGGUAACUUACCAGAAAGGGACGGCUAACUACGUGCCAGCAGCCGCGGUAAUACGUAGGUCCCGAGCGUUGUCCGGAUUUAUUGGGCGUAAAGCGAGCGCAGGCGGUUUAAUAAGUCUGAAGUUAAAGGCAGUGGCUUAACCAUUGUUCGCUUUGGAAACUGUUAAACUUGAGUGCAGAAGGGGAGAGUGGAAUUCCAUGUGUGGCGGUGAAAUGCGUAGAUAUAUGGAGGAACACCGGUGGCGAAAGCGGCUCUCUGGUCUGUAACUGACGCUGAGGCUCGAAAGCGUGGGGAGCAAACAGG